GGCGAACGCUGGCGGCAGGCCUAACACAUGCAAGUCGAACGGACCCUUCGGGGUUAGUGGCGGACGGGUGAGUAACACGUGGGAACGUGCCUUUAGGUUCGGAAUAGCUCCUGGAAACGGGUGGUAAUGCCGAAUGUGCCCUUCGGGGGAAAGAUUUAUCGCCUUUAGAGCGGCCCGCGUCUGAUUAGCUAGUUGGUGAGGUAAUGGCUCACCAAGGCGACGAUCAGUAGCUGGUCUGAGAGGAUGACCAGCCACAUUGGGACUGAGACACGGCCCAAACUCCUACGGGAGGCAGCAGUGGGGAAUCUUGCGCAAUGGGCGAAAGCCUGGCGCAGCCAUGCCGCGUGGAUGAUGAAGGUCUUAGGAUUGUAAAAUCCUUUCACCGGUGAAGAUAAUGACUGUAGCCGGAGAAGAAGCCCCGGCUAACUUCGUGCCAGCCGCCGCCGUAAAAC
rnacentral:rRNA from 1 species